rnacentral:tRNA from 1 species
GGAGGGGUGGCAGAGCGGUCGAAUGCAGCAACCUGCUAAGUUGUUGAGCCUUAACGGGCUCCGAGGGUUCGAAUCCCUCCCCCUCCG